GUYUUUUUGAAAAUAAUUUAAAGUWUAAUYUGCUCCAUGAUUUAUUAAAUAGCUGCGGUAUAUUAACCGUACAAAGGUAGCAUAAUCAAUAGUUUUUUAAUUGAAAGCUGGUAUGAAGGAUUUGAUGAGAUAAAUAUUGUCUCAAAUUUAUUAAUAUUAGAAUUUUUUUUUUAGUAAAAAUACUAAAAUUAAUUUGAAAGACGAGAAGACCCUAUAGAUUUUUAUAAUUUAAUUAAAAUAAAAUUUUAAAAAAAAUUAUUUGAUUGGGGAAAUUAUUAAAUUUAAAAAAUUUUAAUUAUUUUAAACAAAAAUUAUUGAAUUUAUGAUCUUAUAAUAUAGAUUUAAAGAAUAAAAUACCUUAGGGAUAACAGCGUAAUUUUUUUAGAGAGAUCAUAUUAAUAAAAAAGUUUGCGACCUCGAUGUUGAAUUAAGAUAAAAUUUUAAUGAAGAAGUUAAAAAAUUUUAKUCKGUUCRACUAUUAAAAUCUUACGUGAUCUGA
rnacentral:rRNA from 1 species